rnacentral:rRNA from 4 species
AUUCUGGCUCAGGAUGAACGCUGGCGGCGUGCUUAACACAUGCAAGUCGAACGGGAUCCAUCAGGCUUUGCUUGGUGGUGAGAGUGGCGAACGGGUGAGUAAUGCGUGACCGACCUGCCCCAUACACCGGAAUAGCUCCUGGAAACGGGUGGUAAUGCCGGAUGCUCCGACUCCUCGCAUGGGGUGUCGGGAAAGAUUUCAUCGGUAUGGGAUGGGGUCGCGUCCUAUCAGGUAGUCGGCGGGGUAACGGCCCACCGAGCCUACGACGGGUAGCCGGCCUGAGAGGGCGACCGGCCACAUUGGGACUGAGAUACGGCCCAGACUCCUACGGGAGGCAGCAGUGGGGAAUAUUGCACAAUGGGCGCAAGCCUGAUGCAGCGACGCCGCGUGCGGGAUGACGGCCUUCGGGUUGUAAACCGCUUUUGAUCGGGAGCAAGCCUUCGGGUGAGUGUACCUUUCGAAUAAGCACCGGCUAACUACGUGCCAGCAGCCGCGGUAAUACGUAGGGUGCAAGCGUUAUCCGGAAUUAUUGGGCGUAAAGGGCUCGUAGGCGGUUCGUCGCGUCCGGUGUGAAAGUCCAUCGCUUAACGGUGGAUCUGCGCCGGGUACGGGCGGGCUGGAGUGCGGUAGGGGAGACUGGAAUUCCCGGUGUAACGGUGGAAUGUGUAGAUAUCGGGAAGAACACCAAUGGCGAAGGCAGGUCUCUGGGCCGUUACUGACGCUGAGGAGCGAAAGCGUGGGGAGCGAACAGGAUUAGAUACCCUGGUAGUCCACGCCGUAAACGGUGGAUGCUGGAUGUGGGGCCCGUUCCACGGGUUCCGUGUCGGAGCUAACGCGUUAAGCAUCCCGCCUGGGGAGUACGGCCGCAAGGCUAAAACUCAAAGAAAUUGACGGGGGCCCGCACAAGCGGCGGAGCAUGCGGAUUAAUUCGAUGCAACGCGAAGAACCUUACCUGGGCUUGACAUGUUCCCGACAGCCGUAGAGAUAUGGCCUCCCUUCGGGGCGGGUUCACAGGUGGUGCAUGGUCGUCGUCAGCUCGUGUCGUGAGAUGUUGGGUUAAGUCCCGCAACGAGCGCAACCCUCGCCCUGUGUUGCCAGCACGUCAUGGUGGGAACUCACGGGGGACCGCCGGGGUCAACUCGGAGGAAGGUGGGGAUGACGUCAGAUCAUCAUGCCCCUUACGUCCAGGGCUUCACGCAUGCUACAAUGGCCGGUACAACGGGAUGCGACACGGCGACGUGGAGCGGAUCCCUGAAAACCGGUCUCAGUUCGGAUUGGAGUCUGCAACCCGACUCCAUGAAGGCGGAGUCGCUAGUAAUCGCGGAUCAGCAACGCCGCGGUGAAUGCGUUCCCGGGCCUUGUACACACCGCCCGUCAAGUCAUGAAAGUGGGUAGCACCCGAAGCCGGUGGCCUAACCCUUUGUGGAUGGAGCCGUCUAAGGUGAGACUCGUGAUUGGGACUAAGUCGUAACAAGGUAGCCGUACCGGAAGGUGCGGCUG